AGAGUUUGAUCCUGGCUCAGGAUGAACGCUAGCUACAGGCUUAACACAUGCAAGUCGAGGGGCAGCAUCAUCAAAGCUUGCUUUGAUGGAUGGCGACCGGCGCACGGGUGAGUAACACGUAUCCAACCUGCCGACAACACUGGGAUAGCCUUUCGAAAGAAAGAUUAAUACCGGAUGGUAUAGUUUUCCCGCAUGGGAUGAUUAUUAAAGAAUUUCGGUUGUCGAUGGGGAUGCGUUCCAUUAGGCAGUUGGCGGGGUAACGGCCCACCAAACCUACGAUGGAUAGGGGUUCUGAGAGGAAGGUCCCCCACAUUGGAACUGAGACACGGUCCAAACUCCUACGGGAGGCAGCAGUGAGGAAUAUUGGUCAAUGGACGAGAGUCUGAACCAGCCAAGUAGCGUGAAGGAUGACUGCCCUAUGGGUUGUAAACUUCUUUUAUACGGGAAUAAAGUGAGCCACGUGUGGCUUUUUGUAUGUACCGUAUGAAUAAGGAUCGGCUAACUCCGUGCCAGCAGCCGCGGUAAUACGGAGGAUCCGAGCGUUAUCCGGAUUUAUUGGGUUUAAAGGGAGCGUAGGCGGGUUGUUAAGUCAGUUGUGAAAGUUUGCGGCUCAACCGUAAAAUUGCAGUUGAUACUGGCGACCUUGAGUGCAGCAGAGGUAGGCGGAAUUCGUGGUGUAGCGGUGAAAUGCUUAGAUAUCACGAAGAACUCCGAUUGCGAAGGCAGCUUACUGGAUUGUAACUGACGCUGAUGCUCGAAAGUGUGGGUAUCAAACAGGAUUAGAUACCCUGGUAGUCCACACAGUAAACGAUGAAUACUCGCUGUUUGCGAUAUACAGUAAGCGGCCAAGCGAAAGCAUUAAGUAUUCCACCUGGGGAGUACGCCGGCAACGGUGAAACUCAAAGGAAUUGACGGGGGCCCG
rnacentral:rRNA from 1 species